rnacentral:rRNA from 1 species
GGAAAGGCGCGCGAUACAGGGUGACAGCCCCGUACACAAAAAUGCACAUGCUGUGAGCUCGAUGAGUAGGGCGGGACACGUGGUAUCCUGUCUGAAUAUGGGGGGACCAUCCUCCAAGGCUAAAUACUCCUGACUGACCGAUAGUGAACCAGUACCGUGAGGGAAAGGCGAAAAGAACCCCGGCGAGGGGAGUGAAAAAGAACCUGAAACCGUGUACGUACAAGCAGUGGGAGCACGCUUAGGCGUGUGACUGCGUACCUUUUGUAUAAUGGGUCAGCGACUUAUAUUCUGUAGCAAGGUUAACCGAAUAGGGGAGCCGAAGGGAAACCGAGUCUUAACUGGGCGUUAAGUUGCAGGGUAUAGACCCGAAACCCGGUGAUCUAGCCAUGGGCAGGUUGAAGGUUGGGUAACACUAACUGGAGGACCGAACCGACUAAUGUUGAAAAAUUAGCGGAUGACUUGUGGCUGGGGGUGAAAGGCCAAUCAAACCGGGAGAUAGCUGGUUCUCCCCGAAAGCUAUUUAGGUAGCGCCUCGUGAAUUCAUCUCCGGGGGUAGAGCACUGUUUCGGCAAGGGGGUCAUCCCGACUUACCAACCCGAUGCAAACUGCGAAUACCGGAGAAUGUUAUCACGGGAGACACACGGCGGGUGCUAACGUCCGUCGUGAAGAGGGAAACAACCCAGACCGCCAGCUAAGGUCCCAAAGUCAUGGUUAAGUGGGAAACGAUGUGGGAAGGCCCAGACAGCCAGGAUGUUGGCUUAGAAGCAGCCAUCAUUUAAAGAAAGCGUAAUAGCUCACUGGUCGAGUCGGCCUGCGCGGAAGAUGUAACGGGGCUAAACCAUGCACCGAAGCUGCGGCAGCGACGCUGAUGCGUUGUUGGGUAGGGGAGCGUUCUGUAAGCCUGCGAAGGUGUGCUGUGAGGCAUGCUGGAGGUAUCAGAAGUGCGAAUGCUGACAUAAGUAACGAUAAAGCGGGUGAAAAGCCCGCUCGCCGGAAGACCAAGGGUUCCUGUCCAACGUUAAUCGGGGCAGGGUGAGUCGACCCCUAAGGCGAGGCCGAAAGGCGUAGUCGAUGGGAAACAGGUUAAUAUUCCUGUACUUGGUGUUACUGCGAAGGGGGGACGGAGAAGGCUAUGUUGGCCGGGCGACGGUUGUCCCGGUUUAAGCGUGUAGGCUGGUUUUCCAGGCAAAUCCGGAAAAUCAAGGCUGAGGCGUGAUGACGAGGCACUGCGGUGCUGAAGCAACAAAUGCCCUGCUUCCAGGAAAAGCCUCUAAGCAUCAGGUAACAUCAAAUCGUACCCCAAACCGACACAGGUGGUCAGGUAGAGAAUACCAAGGCGCUUGAGAGAACUCGGGUGAAGGAACUAGGCAAAAUGGUGCCGUAACUUCGGGAGAAGGCACGCUGAUAUGUAGGUGAAGUCCCUCGCGGAUGGAGCUGAAAUCAGUCGAAGAUACCAGCUGGCUGCAACUGUUUAUUAAAAACACAGCACUGUGCAAACACGAAAGUGGACGUAUACGGUGUGACGCCUGCCCGGUGC